rnacentral:rRNA from 1 species
UACCGGCCUGAAGGGUGACCGGCCACAUUGGGACUGAGAUACGGCCCAGACUCCUACGGGAGGCAGCAGUGGGGAAUAUUGCACAAUGGGUGGAAGCCUGAUGCAGCAACGCCGUGUGCGGGAUGACGGCCUUCGGGUUGUAAACCGCUUUCGCUCAUGACGAAGCUUUGUGUGCCGGUAGGGGGUAAAGAAGCACCGGCUAACUACGUGCCACCAGCCGCGGUGAUACGUAGGGGGCGAGCGUUGUCCGGAUUUAUUGGGCGUAAAGGGCUCGUAGGGGGUUGAUCGCGUCGGAAGUGUAAUCUUGGGGCUUAACCCUGAGCGUGCUUUUGAUACGGGUUGACUUGAGGAAGGUAGGGGAGACUGGAAUUCCU